GGGGUUGUGGCUCAGCGGUAGAGCACUCGCCUAACAUGUGAGAGACCCUGGGUUCAAUCCUCAGCAUCACAU
rnacentral:tRNA from 1 species